CCCGGAAUGGUACAAUGGUAAUACGCCUUGUGACAUGUGGGAGCCCGCAGCGCGACCAUACCCUCCGGGGGGUAGGAGAUCUGGGUUCGAUUCCGAGUUCCGGUA